CCCUUAGAUGUUCUGGGCCGCACGCGUGCUACACUGAGUGGAUCAGCGGGUCAGGUUGCGCGAAAGUGUUUCCUAAUCUUGAAAUCCGCUCGUGAUGGGGAUUGACGGUUGCAAUUUUCCGUCAUGAACGAGGAAUACCUUGUAAGCGCGGGUCAUCAUCCCGCGCUGAAUACGUCCCUGCCCUUUGUACACACCGCCCGUCGCUCCUACCGAUGAGUCGUCCGGUGAAGUUCGUAGACCUCGUGAUCGCGGAUCACUGGGGGAAGCAAAAUGAACCUCGCGGUUUAGAGGAAGGAGAAGUCGUAACA
rnacentral:rRNA from 1 species